rnacentral:rRNA from 1 species
GACGAACCGUGCGAACGUUGUUCGGAAUCACUGGGCUUAAAGGGCGCGUAGGCGGGCUGCCAAGUCUGGGGUGAAAUCCCACGGCUCAACCGUGGAACUGCCUCGGAUACUGGCGGCCUCGAGGGAGGUAGGGGUGCGCGGAACUUCCGGUGGAGCGGUGAAAUGCGCAGAUAUCAGGAGGAACACCAAUGGCGAAGGCAGCUCGCUGGGACGUGACUGACGCUGAGACGCGAAAGCGUGGGGAGCAAACAGG